AGAGUUUGAUCCUGGCUCAGGAUGAACGCUGGCGGCGUGCCUAACACAUGCAAGUCGAGCGAGAUUUAGUGGAGUGGAGACUUCGGUCAAAGUGAAGCUAAUGAAAGCGGCGGACGGGUGAGUAACGCGUGGGCAACCUGCCCCAUACAAAGGGAUAGCCACUGGAAACGGUGAUUAAUACCUUAUAAGUCGGUAGUCUCGCAUGAGACAGCCGACAAAGAUUUAUCGGUAUGGGAUGGGCCCGCGUUUGAUUAGCUAGUUGGUGAGGUAACGGCUCACCAAGGCGACGAUCAAUAGCCGACCUGAGAGGGUGAUCGGCCACACUGGAACUGACACACGGUCCAGACUCCUACGGGAGGCAGCAGUGAGGAAUUUUGCGCAAUGGGGGCAACCCUGACGCAGCAACGCCGCGUGAGUGAUGAAGGCCUUUGGGUCGUAAAACUCUGUCAGCAGGAAAGGAAUUACAUGUGGUUAAUACCCAUGUGUAUUGACGGUACCUGCAAAGGAAGCACCGGCUAACUCCGUGCCAGCAGCCGCGGUAACACGGAGGGUGCAAGCGUUAUUCGGAAUUAUUGGGCGUAAAGGGCGCGUAGGCGGCCGAACAGGUCAGGUGUGAAAGCCCGGGGCUUAACCCCGGAAGUGCAUUUGAAACCUUUUGGCUUGAGUAUGGGAGAGGAGAGCGGAAUUCCUGGUGUAGAGGUGAAAUUCGUAGAUAUCAGGAGGAACACCGGUGGCGAAGGCGGCUCUCUGGACCAAUACUGACGCUGAGGCGCGAAGGCGUGGGUAGCAAACAGGAUUAGAUACCCUGGUAGUCC
rnacentral:rRNA from 1 species